rnacentral:rRNA from 1 species
AGAUACCCUGGUAGUCCACGCCGUAAACGAUGAGUGCUAAGUGUUGGAGGGGUUCCACCCUUCAGUGCUGGAGUUAACGCAAUAAGCACUCCGCCUGGGGAGUACGGCCGCAAGGCUGAAACUCAAAGGAAUUGACGGGGACCCGCACAAGCGGUGGAGCAUGUGGCUUAAUUCGAAGCAACGCGAAGAACCUUACCAGGCCUUGACAUCCCGACGACCGCUCUAGAGAUAGAGUUUUUCUUCGGAACGUCGGUGACAGGUGGUGCAUGGUUGUCGUCAGCUCGUGUCGUGAGAUGUUGGGUNNNNNNNNNNNNNCGAGCGCAACCCCUAUAACUAGUUGCCAGCAUUCAGAUGGGGACUCUAGUUAGACUGCCGGUGACAAACCGGAGGAAGGUGGGGAUGACGUCAAAUCAUCAUGCCCCUUAUGACCUGGGCUACACACGUGCUACAAUGGAUGGUACAACGAGCAGCGAACUCGCGAGGGUAAGGGAAUCUCUAAAAGCCAUUCUCAGUUCGGAUUGUAGUCUGCAACUCGACUACAUGAAGCCGGAAUCGCUAGUAAUCGCGGAUCAGCACGCCGCGGUGAAUACGUUCCCGGGUCU